GAUUAACGCUGGCGGUAUGCCUAACACAUGCAAGUCGAACGGAAUACUAAUUAAGAGAAUCUCACACUAGUGAGAGGUUCUCACGAGUAGUAUUUAGUGGCGGACGGGUGAGUAACACGUUGGAACCUGCCCCGAAGUGGGGAAUAACUGCUCGAAAGAGUAGCUAAUACCCCAUAGUAUCCGGUUUAUCCGGAUUAAAGAUUUAUCGCUUCGGGAGGGGCCUGCGUCUGAUUAGCUAGUUGGUGAGGUAAAAGCUCACCAAGGCGACGAUCAGUAGCUGGUUCGAGAGGAUGACCAGCCACACUGGGACUGAGAUACGGCCCAGACUCCUACGGGAGGCAGCAGUGAGGAAUCUUCCACAAUGGACGAAAGUCUGAUGGAGCAAUACCGCGUGCAGGAAGACGCUUUUCGGAGUGUAAACUGCUUUUGUCGUCGAAGAUUAUGACUGUAGACGAAGAAUAAGGACC
rnacentral:rRNA from 1 species